rnacentral:rRNA from 1 species
AUGGGCGGCGGCGGGGCUUUCUCUCCUUCUCGCGAGGCGGGAUCGCCGUGGGGCGAUUUACCCUGGCCGGAACGCGGCGUUGUGCGGGACGCUGCGACGCUGGGCUGCCACGGUGGCUGGCAUGGAGGGCUGCACGAGGCGGGCUGCGUGAUGGCGGCGCCCGUCGGCGGGAUCUGGCGCUCGUCGUCGGCGUUCGUCGGCGGCGGCGGCGGGACUGGCGCUCGCGCUGGUCGGGCUCGCCCCUCGUGGGGAGCCUCGGAUCCAUGGCGGCGGCCCUGGCUGGUGGUACGCGGCGUAGCUUCAGCGGGCGGCGCCGGCGUGGGCAGGUGGGCCACUUCCCUGGCCAUGUGGAUGGCGGGGCGGUGGUGGGCUUCGGCUGCGGCGACGGUUCUUCGCUGGAUGUUGGUGGCCAUGGUGAUGUUCGUCCUCGACCCCGAUCUACUCCGAUCUGUAUCGGAUCCGGCCCUUGGUGGCUUCGGCCACCGUUCAUGGGUGCUGGCCUUGCAGACCCGGUGGCUGGAAGGGUUCCGGGGGAAUCUCUUGGCCGGCGUGGCGGCCACUCCGAUGGCAGUGCCUUUGGGUGUUGCUUUCCUCGUUGGAGGCUUCGGAGAGGAACUCCUUUCUUCUACCCCUCCCAGGAGCUCAGGUGAAAAUCUCAGACCCCCCUGUUCCAAGCAACGACGACACCAAGGUGGCGUGCUCCUUCCUGAAGGCGUUGCUCGGGGGCUGCUCAAGCGGCGGUGGAAGUGGUGGCGGUUCGGCGUCGACACAUGCAUUCUGGUCAGCUUCAUCCUGGAGGUUGCGGCGACGUAG